rnacentral:rRNA from 1 species
GUGAAGCGGCAACAGCUCAAAUUUGAAAUCUGGCCUCACGGUCCGAGUUGUAAUUUGUAGAGGAUGCUUUUGGCAAGGUACUUUCCGAGUUCCCUGGAACGGGACGCCAUAGAGGGUGAGAGCCCCGUACGGUCAGACCACCGAGCCUCUGUAAAGCUCCUUCGACGAGUCGAGUAGUUUGGGAAUGCUGCUCUAAAUGGGAGGUGUACGUCUUCUAAAGCUAAAUACCGGCCAGAGACCGAUAGCGCACAAGUAGAGUGAUCGAAAGAUGAAAAGCACUUUGAAAAGAGGGUUAAAAAGUACGUGAAAUUGUUGAAAGGGAAGCAUUCAUGACCAGACUUGGGCUUGGUUGAACAUCCGGCGUUCUCGCCGGUGCACUCUGCCAGUCCAGGCCAGCAUCAGUUUGACCCGGGGGACAAAGGCGGCGGGAAUGUGGCUCCCCUCGGGGAGUGUUAUAGCCCGUCGUGUAAUGCCCUGGGUUGGACUGAGGAACGCGC